rnacentral:rRNA from 1 species
AACUCAAGCGAUUAUUUUGUGAAGUCCUGAUAUAUCAUUCAAUUGAUUAAAACUUUCAACAACGGAUCUCUUGGUUCUGGCAUCGAUGAAGAACGCAGCGAAAUGCGAUAAGUAAUGUGAAUUGCAGAAUUCAGUGAAUCAUCGAAUCUUUGAACGCACAUUGCGCCCUCUGGUAUUCCGGAGGGCAUGCCUGUUCGAGCGUCAUU